GUCAAAGUCCCCAACUUCCAAGUUCUCCAACCAACGAACUCAACUUCCCGCAAAACCCUAAACCCUUCCUUCUCCGAAUCCAUUGAUAGACAUAGACCCUUCAGCACCAGCUCAUAUCUGCCCCCAUCAAGUCCCAAUGGCGAAACACAAGGAUAAGAAGAACAUGAAAUCAGGGCCAAACGCCGUCGCCAUGAAGCACCAGGCCCCAAAACCCAACCCCUUCGCGGCCAAAGCACCUAACCCUAGCAGAGCGGACACCAAGAACAAUAAGGAGACGACGACGACGAAGAAGAAGAAGAAUAAGUUGGGCCCAAGCUCCAUAGCCAUGAAGCUCCAAGCUCCAAAACCCAACCCUUUCGAGACCAUAUGGUCCCGAAGGAAAUUCGACAUUCUCGGAAAGAAACGCAAAGGCGAAGAGCGCCGUAUUGGCCUCUCUCGCUCUCAUGCCAUUGAAAAGAGGAAGAACACGCUGUUGAAAGAGUAUGAGCAGAGUAAUAAGUCUUCGGUCUUUGUCGAUAAGCGAAUUGGAGAGCAUAAUGAUGAGCUCGACGAGUUCGAUAAGGCCAUUCGGCGUUCCCAGCGCGAGCGUCUGUCAAAGCAGAACAAGAAAAGCAAGUAUAACUUAUCAGAUGGAGAAGAAGAGGACUAUGAAUUCCAAAGUCUUGGUGCAUUAUCUGAAAGGGAUGAUUUUGAGGAUGAUAUGCUUCCUGAUGACGAUGAAGAUGGAGCCGGAACUGCUAAAACUAAGAAAAAGUUAGCCACACUAGAUCAAUUUGAGUCCCAUGAUAAGCAGAAUCUACAGGACGAUGAUCCAAUGGAAGGAGAGGAAAAUAGACAUAAAAGCAAGAAGGAAGUAAUGAAGGAGCUUAUGGCAAAAAGCAAGUAUCACAGGGCAGAAAGAGCAAAACAUAAGGAAGAACUAGAAGAUUUUGGGCAAGAAUUGGACAAAAUCUUUACAUCCAUGGCGCAGUCUAAGCUUUUAGAAUUGGCUGAACCAGACAAGAGUGUUCCAAAUGAGAAGAAGGAUGAGCUUUCUGGACAGGAAGUAGCUCGCUCUUACUUCAAAGCUUUGGGAACAUUAGCAUUGGAACGCCGUGGUCAGCCCUCAGAUAGGACAAAGACACCUGAAGAGAUAGCACAAGAGGAGAGAGAGCAGCUUGAGCAUUUGGAGGAAGAGAGACAGAAGAGGAUGCUUGCCACCGAUGACUAUAGUGAUGAUCAAAAUGAAGAUGAUGAGAUUCCGUCUACCCAGAGGCCAAGAGCUAUAUCUGGGGAUGAUCUUGGUGAUUCCUUCUCGCUUGAUGAAGAGCCUAGGAUUAAAAAGGGUUGGGUUGAUGAGAUUCUUGAAAAAAAAGAUGCUAGUGAUUCUGAGAGUGAAGAAGGCGGUUCUUCUGAGGAUUCAGAAAGUCCUGAGGAUGGCAGUGAUGAAGGAUCUGAUGAAGAUGAUAAUGAAGGUGAAAAGAAUCUAUUGAUGAAGGACUGGGAACAGAGCGACGAUGAUAAUCUUGGAACAGAUUUGGAUGAGAAGGAAGAAGAAGAAGAAGAUGAUGAUGAUGAGUCUGAAGGACAUGAAAAUGAUGAUGAUGUUAAUGAAAAAGAGAUGGAGCCAAGAGAGCUUAAAAGGUUGAAAAAAAAUGAUGCUAGUAAAAAACAGGGCAAGGUAUCUCAGGAUGAUAAACGACCUUCUACUCAAUCAGACCUCCCAUACCUAAUCGAAGCUCCAAAAAGCUUGGAAGAGUUAAGUGCAUUGGUGGAUAAUCUUUCUAAUUCCAACAUUGUCGUGAUAAUCAAUCGAAUCCGGAAAAGCAAUGCAAUCAAGCUUGCAGCAGAAAAUCGGAAGAAAAUGCAAGUAUUUUAUGGUGUACUUCUGCAGUAUUUUGCCAUCUUAGCAAAUCAAAAGCCGUUGAAUAUAGAGUUAUUAAAUUUUCUGGUUAAGCCAUUGAUUGAGAUGAGUAUGGAGACUCCGUACUUUGCUGCAAUUUGUGCUCGUCAGAGAAUUUUACGGGCUCGAACUGAAUUUUGUGCGACUGUUAAAAACCCAGAAAACAGUUGUUGGCCUUCUUCAAAGACAUUAUUUCUUCUGAGGCUUUGGUCCCUGAUAUUUUCAUGCUCUGAUUUUCGUCAUGUGGUCAUGACUCCAGCAACAGUGUUAAUGUGUGAAUAUCUGGCGCGAUCUCCUAUCGUGUCUGGACGUGAUGCUGCAGUUGGUUCUUUCUUAUGCUCUAUGCUUCUCUGUAUCACCAAACAAUCUAGGAAGUUCUGCCCUGAAGCAGUCAUGUUUCUCCGAACAUUGCUGAUAGCAGCUAAAGACAGAAAGCCGGCAACAAAUCAAGAUUCUCAGUUUUAUGAGCUUAUGGAAUUAAAAGCACUCAGGCCCCUUUUAUGUAUACGUGAAUGCGUAGAUCAGAUUGAUCCUCUGAAUUUUCUUACGUUAAUGGACCUGCCAGAUGACUCCUCAUUUUUGAGCUCUAAUAAUUUCAGGGCUAGUGUGCUGUUGACUGUAAUUGAAACUCUACGUGGAUUUGUCAGUAUCUAUGAAGGAUUCAGUUCUUUUCCUGAAUUUUUUUUGCCCAUUUCAAUAUUGUUGGUUGAAGUGGCGGAACAGGAUAAUAUGCCACAAGUAUUAACAGACAAAUUUCAAGAUGUUGCUCAACUUAUUAAGACAAAAGCAGAUGAACAUCACAUUCUGCGGCAACCACUUCAGAUGCGGAAGCAAAAGCCAGUGGCUAUCAAAAUGCUUAAUCCGAAAUUUGAGGAGAACUUUGUUAAGGGCAUAGACUAUGAUCCAGAUCGUGAACGAGCUGAGAGAAGAAAGUUGAAGAAAGUUCUAAAACAAGAAGCUAAAGGGGCUAUCCGUGAACUGCGUAAAGAUAAUUCUUUCUUAUAUGAGGUGAAGGCGAGGGAGAAGGUGCUGAUGGAAGAAGAAAAAGCUGAGAAAUAUGGAAAAGUAAGACUCUUCCUUCAAGAGCAAGAACACGCUAUGAAAUCUGGGCAAUUGGGAAAAGGCAGGAAGAGAAGGCGAUGAGCUUGAGACUCUCCUUGAAGGUUAAGGUAUGUUCCCGUAGAUCAGAAGCUGGUCUUGUAUUGUGCAUGUGCUGCGCUGCCUUACACAUAUGCCAGAUGAAGCCAAUUAUUUGGCGCAAAUUUUGUGCAACAUUAAUUUAUUUAUUAGAAAUCUAAAGCAGUAACAGAAUAGGACAUGAUUUAUCCAUGGCAGUGAUUCGUACUCAGCUUUCAGAUUUUGUAAUUGUAACUACAUUCAGAGGUAGCCUCAAUCAGCUUCAAGUGCAAUAGACUCCUCUCCCACUAGCUGGCUCCUAUCUACUUGCGCAGGUCUCUGAAAUAAGCAGAAGGGUUUCGCUCAAAAUCAUCCCUGAAGAUUCUGCUGUCUCUGCCGGGAGCUUUCAUCGUCUUCCUCUGCCCUGAACCUGAAAAAAGUCCAGACAAACCAUAACCCAGCACAGCCAGUCCUGCCACAGCAACAGCUGCAAUCACAAGGUUGGACACGUCAACCUCAUGAUUACACAAGUCAACAGCAUUCUCAUCUCUCUCCUUGUUGUUCCUAGAGCUAGAGCUUCCCCUGCUUUCAUUCGCUCCCAUUUUUGCAACUCAAGUAGUAGCUGGUUUUGUAACUUUUGGUUGGAGGGUGCAUGGCUAUGGCUAAUGGCUAAUGGCUAAGUUUAUAUAGAGAGGGAGCGUUCAUUGAUUUGUUUAUGGGAAUUUAAAGAGUCGCGUAAGAAUUAAUACAAGCAUUGGAAGUGCCAGAACAUUGAUUGCUUUGGUCAUCAAACUCGACCUUCCAAUUUCCAAUUACCGCGAGGCGACAAGAGUGGUGCAUUGGAUUACGGGCUGUCUCAUUUUAAGGCAUGGAAAUUGAACGGCAUGCAUGGUUUGUCCUUUGUUUAUCAACGACUAGGAGCAGCGGCGGAACCAUAAAUUUUUCAGGGGAGGUGCAAUUUAUCACUAUCAUCAUCAACACCAACAGCUCAUUUUUAACAUACUCUAUGUAAGUAAUUAGGAAUGAGCAUCACAAAACACUAAGCAUAAAAAGAUAAUCACAACAGUAGGGCAUGUUGAGGAGAGGUAGUAUUGCCAUAUGUUUAUCAAAUUCUACCAUGUUGGUUGGCUGGUGCCGGCCACGGAGGCGGCUAAGAAGGAGGAGAGGGAGCACGAUAGCUAGGAAAUAAGCACCGGCGGUUCUUCCUAGCUUGGAAAAUCAAAUCUUGGAAGUUGAAUAUUUGUGAUAUUGCCCAAGCUUUAAAAUUGAAAUCAGCAGGCUUUGAUAUUUGCUGAAAAUCUAACAGAAGGGGUCACCAAGAUCUUUUAUGUUUACAAGAAACUAAUACAAAUGGAG